rnacentral:rRNA from 1 species
AUUGAACGCUGGCGGCAGGCCUAACACAUGCAAGUCGAACGAGUGGCGGACGGGUGAGUAAUGUCUGGGAAACUGCCUGAUGGAGGGGGAUAACUACUGGAAACGGUAGCUAAUACCGCAUACCAUCGGAUGUGCCCAGAUGGGAUUAGCUAGUAGGUGGGGUAAAGGCUCACCUAGGCGACGAUCCCUAGCUGGUCUGAGAGGAUGACCAGCCACACCGGGACCGAAGCACGGGCCAGACUCCCACGGGUGGCAGCAGGGGGGAAAAUUUCCCCAAUGGCGCCAGGCUGGUUGCAGCAUGCCGGGUGAUUGAAGAAGCCUUCGGGUUGGUAAAUACCUUCCGGCGGGAAGGAGGUACCCGCAGAAGAAGCACCGGCUAACUCCGUGCCAGCAGCCGCGGUAAUAC